GAAAAGCCUAAGAUGUGUAGGCCUGAGUUGCAAGCGGAGACAGCCUUUAGCUUCCUUCAGCUGCUGUAGGCCAAGGGAAGGAAGUGGGGUUUGUGACAUCCUGAAGAGCCUGUGUAGCAUGCACAGCUAGCAGAGGCAGCCUCAUGCUAGUGUCUGUUAUGGGAGCUGGAGGCCACUGAAAAGAAAAAGGAUUAGAAGUAACUGGAGAAAAAGCCUGAGAUGUAAGGGUCUGUGUUGCAAGUGGAAGCAGCUUCGUGCUCAUUUCAGCUGCUGUAGCUGUAAGCCACAGGUGCUUGUGAUAUUCAGAGGAAAAUACUGGAGAGUCUGUGCAGUCUGCACAGCUAGCGCAAGGAGCCUCUGUGGUGGUUUCAUCCAAUGCUGUGAGGAAUCAUUCUCAAAGUCAUCAGACUCUGAACAACUAAAGAAAAUGUUUCUCAUGAUUGUUUUGUUCUGUUUGUACUGGUGGAGACUGACUGAUGGGAGAUUCAGAGACAGACUGAAGCUGGACAAACAGACUGGAUCUCUGACCAUCACUAACAUCACACCUGAACAUGCUGGAGUUUAUCAACUAGAGAUAGCUGGAGCAAGAAAAAAAGCAUUCAAUGUUUCUGUCUAUGGUGAGUAAAGAUCAUUUGUCCUAUCUUUCAACAUAUUCUUGUUUUAUUUUAUUAGAACUAUUUACAUUUAAGAUUUUGGUACAGAUGUCAAACACACUCACUACUGUCAUUAUGUAACAUACUCCACUGUAGGCAAGCUUGAUGAACCCAUGUGCAUUUAUUGACAUUUAUUUAUUAAACAAAUAAAUAAAAAUACAAACAUAGAUGUAAAAAACUA
ensembl:lncRNA